ACGCUGGCGGCAGGGCCUAACACAUGCAAGUCGAGCGGGGGAGCAAUCCCUAGCGGCGGACGGGUUAGUAACGCGUGGGAACAUACCCUUUGGUACGGAAUAGCCUCGGGAAACUGAGAGUAAUACCGUAUGUGCCCUUCGGGGGGAAAGAUUUAUCGCCAAAGGAUUGGCCCGCGUUGGAUUAGGUAGUUGGUGGGGUAAUGGCCUACCAAGCCUACGAUCCAUAGCUGGUUUGAGAGGAUGAUCAGCCACACUGGGACUGAGACACGGCCCAGACUCCUACGGGAGGCAGCAGUGGGGAAUAUUGGACAAUGGGCGAAAGCCUGAUCCAGCAAUGCCGCGUGAGUGAUGAAGGCCUUAGGGUUGUAAAGCUCUUUUACCCGAGAUGAUAAUGACAGUAUCGGGAGAAUAAGCUCCGGCUAACUCCGUG
rnacentral:rRNA from 1 species